rnacentral:rRNA from 1 species
UACGCUGGCGGCACGCCUAACACAUGCAAGUCGAACGAAGUAGCAAUACUUAGUGGCAGACGGGUGAGUAACAUGUAGGUAUCUGCCCUUUGGCCUGGAAUAACACGAGGAAACUUGUGCUAAUACCGGAUAAGUCUUUACGGAGAAAGCUUUAUGCACCAUUGGAUGAGCCUGCACUUGAUUAGUUUGUUGGUGGGGUAACGGCCUACCAAGACUGUGAUCAAUAGCUGAUUUGAGAGGAUGAUCAGCCACAUUGGGACUGAGACACGGCCCAAACUCCUACGGGAGGCAGCAGUGGGGAAUCUUGCACAAUGGAGGAAACUCUGAUGCAGCGAUGCCGCGUGAGUGAAGAAGGCCUUUGGGUUGUAAAGCUCUUUCGUCGGGGAAGAAAAUGACUGUACCCGAAUAAGAAGGUCCGG